ensembl:lncRNA
CCUCACCAUGUCUCUCUCUCUCUCUCUCUUUCACACACACACAGACAGAGAGAGAGAGACACUGAAUACAACUGACUCCACACUUCACAAACAGAAUGUAUCAUGUGAGAUAAAUGGCAUGCGAACAAACUGGUAUCUGAUUGAUAUUUUAAGAGAGAAGCUUUCAUCUCCAGACAGAGCUGGUCUGACACAGAGAAAGACAGAGAUAGACAGUGACAGUGAUAUAGAUAUAGAGACACGGAAAGACGGAGAGAGACGACAGACAAAGUGAUCCAGAGAGACGACAAAGUGAUCCAGAGAGACGACAGAGAGUGAUCCAGAGAGACGACAGACAAAGUGAUCCAGAGAGACGACAGACAAAGUGAUCCAGAGAGACGACAGACAAAGUGAUCCAGAGAGACGACAGACAAAGUGAUCCAGUGAGCCGACAGAGAGUGAUCCAGAGAGACGACAGACAAAGUGAUCCAGAGAGACGACAGACAAAGUGAUCCAGAGAGACGACAGACAAAGUGAUCCAGAGAGACGACAGAGAGUGAUCCAGAGAGACGACAAUGUGAUCCAGAGAGACGACAGAGAGUGAUCCAGAGAGACGACAGAGAGUGAUCCAGAGAGACGACAGACAAAGUGAUCCAGAGACGACAGACAAAGUGAUCCAGUGAGACGACAGACAAAGUGAUCCAGAGAGACGACAGACAAAGUGAUCCAGAGAGACGACAGAGAGUGAUCCAGAGAGACGACAAAGUGAUCCAGAGAGACGACAGAGAGUGAUCCAGAGAGACGACAGAGAGUGAUCCAGAGAGACGACAGACAAAGUGAUCCAGAGACGACAGACAAAGUGAUCCAGUGAGACGACAGACAAAGUGAUCCAGAGAGAGGGUCAUAGAACAGAGUGACAGAAUAAGACACCAGCUGUUAUAUCUAACUGAAGGUAACACUUCACCAUCAUCAUUACACUAAGUUCAGCAUUGAUACUAUCAUAUUCAAGUCAAUCUGUGAGUCCAUUGAAAAAGCCAGCAUGUUCAACACUAUAUUAUAUUAAACGUCAAUACAAUACAAUUCAAAUCAAUAUAGUUGUAAAGUAUACAAGAGAAGGCUGGUGGGAGGAGCAAUAGGAGAAUGGGCUCAUUGUAAUGGCUGGAACAGAAUCAAACGUCGUAUUCCAUUUAUUCCAUUCCAGAAAUUACAAGAGCCUAUCCUUCUAUAGCUCCUCCCACCAGCCUCCACUGCAGUAGAUGAAUAAGUGAACGUUCUUAUUCCCCGUGACGUGACGCUUGCAGAACCCUGUGUGGCAGAAAGCACAAUUACAGUCUUCUGACAUUGCAAUACAGUGGAGUCGAAUGAGUUAGAAUAUCAAAUGCUCAAGAUUUUUCAAAAAACAUUUCAGUGAACGUAACUGGAACGCUAUUUUCAUACAAUUAUAAUUAUCAUCAUCAUCCUCUUCAUCAUUAUCAUCAUCCUCAUCAGCAUGGGGUGUUCAUUCUGGAUCCACCAGGAAAAUUAACACUACAUUAUUCAUAUUAUUAUUUAUUGUAUUAUAAUUUGUUUUUUAUUUAGCCUUUAUUUUAACAGGGAAGACAUGGAGAACUUGGUCUCAUUUACAAAAAAUAGCCAUUAUACCAAAACUAUAACUAUAUCUACAGUACCAGUCAAAAAUGUGGACACACCUAAUUCCAGGGUUUCAUGGACUGUUGUUCCAGGUGGCUACCUCAUGAAGCUGGUUGAGAGAAUGCCAAGAGUGUGCAAAGCUGUCAUCAAGGCAAAGAGUGGCUACUUUGAAGAAUCUCAAAUAUAAUAUAUAUUUUGAUUUGUCUAGCACUUUUUGGGUUACUACAUGAUUUCAUAUGUGUUAUAUCAUUGAAAAAUGUGUAGGUUGUCCAAACGUUUAACUGGUAUUGUAGCUAUGUAUGAAUAUAUGUAUGUAUGAACACAUUAAAAUACAAAAACACAGUCAAUGGGAAGCGCAAAUAAAUCAUCACAAAUCACCCAGAAACUGUUACAUUCCUCUACAAAUAAGUCCCCAAUCGAUACUUUAAAUUGCCCAAAUGGCACCAGAACAUAAUUAACAUGAUGAAUCAAUACCAUUGAUAAUCCAGUUACUUCAAGGACAAUUCCAUCACAAUAAAAACAGUUAUGCUGUAAGUGUAUAUGCACUACUGUAAGAUUUGAUAGAAAUGUUGGUGUUUUAUUGUUUUUGUCAGUCACAUUGCAUGAUUUCUCACGUUAGUCAUUUUUAGAACCUCUGGUCGAGUUCCUGCCCAUGGAUUUGCAUCACCAAUUGGCUGCGAGCCACGUCGACGACAGUGCAGUCGGGCAUCAGAUUUUGCUAUAUGAUGUGGUUAGCUCUUAUGUUAAAUACCUAUCCACGCGUUGUAAGAUCUGGCAUGCGUCUGCAACGUAGUCGGGCAGGAACUCAACCUCUGUUUCACCCUAGUCUACAGUGUACUAUUAUUCACAGAGUGUAAUGCUCUACUAGCAAGCCCAGCUAAAAUAGUCUAAAUAUAUUGCAUGGGUGUAUCAAAUCAAAGUGUAUUUGUCACGUGCGCCAAAUACAACAGGUGUGGUAGACCUUACAGUGAAAUGCUGAAUACAGGCUCUAACCAAAAGUGCAAUUUAAGUAAAAGACAAACAACUAUUAGAUAAACAAUAGAUAAGAAAAAAGGAAACAGUAAAAGGACAGUGAAAAUAACAGUAGCGAGGCUAUAUGCAGGUGGUACCGUAGAUUAGAAUGUAUAGUUAACGUAACUAUGCAUAGAUGAACAGGGAGCCGCAGCAGCGUAAAAGAAGGGUAUUUCACAUGAUUUAAGGGUUGUAAUCCAAUUUGCGAAAGAUUGUCUUCCAAAUAUUCUCAAAUCUGCCUAAAACAAUAUGUGCAUUUACCCACCAGACUUAUUGCGGGUAAAAGGCUUUGAGUGAUGACAUAGUGCACAUAAAAAUAACUUUUGCCACUAAAUUCCCACGUACCAAAUGAAAAAGUUAAAUAGUUUUCCAUCAUUUUCAUCUCCACUGAUGGUUUGGUCUCAAAAACUGUUUUGUUAAAUAACAAAUGUGUCCACUCUGGUCAUGGCAUAUGCACUUGAACCACCCGCUCACAGGCUACCACCCGCUCACAGGCUACCACCCGCUCACAGGCUACCACCCGCUCACAGGCUACCAACCGCUCACAGGCUACCAACCGCUCACAGGCUACCACCCGCUCACAGGCUACCACCCGCUCACAGGCUACCACCCGCUCACAGGCUACCAACCGCUCACAGGCUACCAACCGCUCACAGGCUACCACCCGCUCACAGGCUACCACCCGCUCACAGGCUACCACCCGCUCACAGGCUACCAACCGCUCACAGGCUACCACCCGCUCACAGGCUACCAACCGCUCACAGGCUACCACCCGCUCACAGGCUACCACCCGCUCACAGGCUACCACCCGCU